AUAACAACACUAGACGCAUGUCUAGAGUUUGAAAGAUGGUUCUGCUAUCACUCUUGGAUGGACCUGCGGUGCAUUAGCUAGUUGGUAAGGUAACGGCUUACCAAGGCAAUGAUGCAUAGCCGAGUUGAGAGACUGAUCGGCCACAUUGGGACUGAGACACGGCCCAAACUCCUACGGGAGGCAGCAGUAGGGAAUCUUCCACAAUGGACGAAAGUCUGAUGGAGCAACGCCGCGUGAGUGAAGAAGGGUUUCGGCUCGUAAAGCUCUGUUGGUAGUGAAGAAAGAUAGAGGUAGUAACUGGCCUUUAUUUGACGGUAAUUACUUAGAAAGUCACGGCUAACUACGUGCCAGCAGCCGCGGUAAUACGUAGGUGGCAAGCGUUGUCCGGAUUUAUUGGGCGUAAAGCGAGUGCAGGCGGUUCAAUAAGUCUGAUGUGAAAGCCUUCGGCUCAACCGGAGAAUUGCAUCAGAAACUGUUGAACUUGAGUGCAGAAGAGGAGAGUGGAACUCCAUGUGUAGCGGUGGAAUGCGUAGAUAUAUGGAAGAACACCAGUGGCGAAGGCGGCUCUCUGGUCUGCAACUGACGCUGAGGCUCGAAAGCAUGGGUAGCGAACAGGAUUAGAUACCCUGGUAGUCCAUGCCGUAAACGAUGAGUGCUAAGUGUUGGGAGGUUUCCGCCUUUUCAGUGCUGCAGGCUAACGCAUUAAAGCACUCCGCCUGGGGAGUACGACCGCAAGGGUGAAAACUCAAAAGGAAAUUGACGGGGGCCCGCACCAAGCGGUGGAGCAUGUGGUUUAAUUCGAAGCAACGCGAAGAACCUUACCAGGUCUUGACAUCCAGUGCAAACCUAAGAGAUUAGGUGUUCCCUUCGGGGACGCUGAGACAGGUGGUGCAUGGCUGUCGUCAGCUCGUGUCGUGAGAUGUUGGGUUAAGUCCCGCAACGAGCGCAACCCUUGUCAUUAGUUGCCAUCAUUAAGUUGGGCACUCUAAUGAGACUGCCGGUGACAAACCGGAGGAAGGUGGGGAUGACGUCAAGUCAUCAUGCCCCUUAUGACCUGGGCUACACACGUGCUACAAUGGACGGUACAACGAGAAGCGAACCUGCGAAGGCAAGCGGAUCUCUUAAAGCUGUUCUCAGUUCGGACUGUAGGCUGCAACUCGCCUACACGAAGCUGGAAUCGCUAGUAAUCGCGGAUCAGCACGCCGCGGUGAAUACGUUCCCGGGCCUUGCACACACCGCCCGUCA
rnacentral:rRNA from 1 species